rnacentral:tRNA from 1 species
GGGUUGGUAGCUCAGUGGUAGAGCAUCCGGCUUUUAACCGGCGGGUCGAGGGUUCGACCCCCUCCCAACCCA